rnacentral:rRNA from 1 species
GAUGAACGCUAGCGGCAGGCCUAAUACAUGCAAGUCGAACGAUAUUAUCCAGCUUGCUGGAUAUGAAAGUGGCGCACGGGUGCGUAACGCGUAUGCAACCUACCUUAUUCAGGGGGAUAGCCCGAAGAAAUUCGGAUUAACACCGCAUAAAAUCACAGUUCUGCAUUGGACAAUGAUCAAAUAUUUAUAGGAAUAAGAUGGGCAUGCGUGUCAUUAGCUAGUUGGCGGGGUAGCGGCCCACCAAGGCGACGAUGACUAGGGGAUCUGAGAGGAUGGCCCCCCACACUGGUACUGAGACACGGACCAGACUCCUACGGGAGGCAGCAGUAAGGAAUAUUGGUCAAUGGAGGGAACUCUGAACCAGCCAUGCCGCGUGCAGGAAGACGGCCCUCUGGGUUGUAAACUGCUUUUAUUCGGGAAUAAACCUAUUUACGUGUAAAUAGCUGAAUGUACCGAAGGAAUAAGGAUCGGCUAACUCCGUGCCAGCCGCCGCGGUAA